UACGUAGGGAGCAAGCGUUAUCCGGAUUUAUUGUGUGUAAAGGGUGCGUAGGCGGGAAGGCAAGUUGAAUGUGAAAUACCGUGGCUCAACCACGGGGCUGCGUUCAAAACUGUUUUUCUUGAGUACAGCAGAGGCAAGCGGAAUUCCCAGUGUAGCGGUAAUAUGCGUAGGUAUUGGGAGGAACACCGGUGGCGAAGGCGGCUUGCUGGGCUGCAACUGACGCUGAAGCACGAAAGUGUGGGGAGCAAACAGGAUUAGAUACCCUGGUAGUCCACACUGUAAACGAUGAUUACUAGGUGUGGGGAGAUUGACCCUCUCCGUGCCGCAGUUAACACAAUAAGUAAUCCACCUGAGUAGUACGGCCGCAAGGUUGAA
rnacentral:rRNA from 1 species